AGCGAACGCUGGCGGCAGGCCUAACACAUGCAAGUCGAACGGACCCUUCGGGGUUAGUGGCGGACGGGUGAGUAACACGUGGGAACGUGCCUUUAGGUUCGGAAUAGCUCCUGGAAACGGGUGGUAAUGCCGAAUGUGCCCUUCGGGGGAAAGAUUUAUCGCCUUUAGAGCGGCCCGCGUCUGAUUAGCUAGUUGGUGAGGUAACGGCUCACCAAGGCGACGAUCAGUAGCUGGUCUGGGAGGAUGACCAGCCACACUGGGACUGAGACACGGCCCAGACUCCUACGGGAGGCAGCAGUGGGGAAUCUUGCGCAAUGGGCGAAAGCCUGACGCAGCCAUGCCGCGUGAAUGAUGAAGGUCUUAGGAUUGUAAAAUUCUUUCACCGGGGACGAUAAUGACGGUACCCGGAGAAGAAGCCCCGGCUAACUUCGUG
rnacentral:rRNA from 1 species